GUAGGUCACGAGCGUUAUCCGGAAUUAUUGGGCGUAAGGAGUGAGCAGGCGGCAUGGCAAGUCUGAGGUGAAAGCGUGGGGCUCAACCCCAUACAGCCUUGGAAACUACCAAGCUAGAGUGCGUGAGAGGUAAACGGAACUCCAUGUGUAGCGGUGAAAUGCGUAGAUAUAUGGAAGAACACCGGUGGCGAAGGCGGUUUACCAGCAUGACACUGACGCUCAGUCACGAAAGCGUGGGGAGCAAAUAGGAUUAGAUACCCUAGUAGUCCACGCUGUAAACGAUGAUAACUAACUAUUUCCGUAAGGGAGUGGUGAAGCUAACGCAUUAAGUUAUCCGCCUGGGAAGU
rnacentral:rRNA from 1 species